rnacentral:rRNA from 1 species
GGGAUUAUUCAGUCGGAGGUCGCAGAUGCAGAGUGUGGAAUGACCAGAAUGGUUCUCCGGACGGAGCCGUCCACGCCCUGCGCUUUCGUGCCACCCGACGCAUUUGUUUCCCGUCCAGAGGACGCCGCAACCGGUUGGAGAACGGCCUUAAGGGCAGACGAUGGCAGGUGGCCGGUGAUUUUUUCCCUCGGGAGAGGUCUGCCGGUUGUUAGCCGGUUUCUGUCGCACGGCUCGUGAUCCGACCGUGGUGUCGCGAGACCCCUAGUGGGUCUCUUCGCCUCCUCCUUUAGCGGGAAGCCGGGAAUUGGCGGCACGGUCCCUCCCCCCUGCGGGCGCACUGACUGACUCAGUGGCCCAGCUAUCGGGAGGUCCGGUUGGUAGCCUUUUACCCGUUGGAGUGUCGGCGGUUAGCGGCGAGUAGAUCGGUCACCCACCCGACCCGUCUUGAAACACGGACCAAGGAGUCUAACAUGUGUGCGAGUCAAUGGGUCUCGAAUAAGCCCAGAGGCGCAAUGAAAGCAAAGGCCGGACUUGACUUCGGCUGUGUUGGGAUCCUCCCCUUGUGAAAUGGGGGAGGCGCACCAACGACCCGUCCCAUCCGAUUUAUCGGCGGGGCGGAGUCUGAGCAUACACGUUGGUACCCGAAAGAUGGUGAGCUAUGCCCGGGCAGGACGAAGCCAGAGG